rnacentral:rRNA from 1 species
GCAAUUAUACCGCGAAAAUGCGAAUGUCUCCUUAUAUACGUUAUCGUUUAUUUGAUAGUACCUUACUACUUGGAUAACCGUGCUAAUUCUAGAGCUAAUACAUGCUAAAAAUCCCGACUUCGGAAGGGAUGCAUUUAUUAGAUUAAAAACCAAUGCCCUUCGGGGCUCACUGGUGAUUCAUGAUAACUCCUCGAAUCGCAUGGCCUUGUGCCGGCGAUGGAUCAUUCAAAUUUCUUCCCUAUCAACUUUCGAUGUUUGGGUAUUGGCCAAACAUGGUUGCAACGGGUAACGGAGGGUUAGGGCUCGACCCCGGAGAAGGAGCCUGAGAAACGGCUACUACAUCCAAGGAAGGCAGCAGGCGCGCAAAUUACCCAAUCCCGACACGGGGAGGUAGUGACAAUAAAUACUGAUACAGGGCUCUUUUGGGUCUUGUAAUUGGAAUGAGUACAAUUUAAAUCCCUUAACGAGGAACAAUUGGAGGGCAAGUCUGGUGCCAGCAGCCGCGGUAAUUCCAGCUCCAAUAGCGUAUAUUAAAGUUGUUGUGGUUAAAAAGCUCGUAGUUGAACCUUGGGCCUGGCUGGCCGGUCCGCCUCACCGCGUGUACUGGUCCGGCCGGGCCUUUCCCUCUGUGGAACCCCAUGCCCUUCACUGGGUGUGGCGGGGAAACAGGACUUUUACUGUGAAAAAAUUAGAGUGCUCCAGGCAGGCCUAUGCUCGAAUACAUUAGCAUGGAAUAAUAGAAUAGGACGUGUGGUUCUAUUUUGUUGUUUUCUAGGACCGCCCGUAAUGAUUAAUAGG